GCCCCUGUGGCUUAGAGGCUAAAGCGGCUGACAAAUUUUUCAGCAGUCGUAAUCAGCAGAUCGGGAGUUCAAAUCUCCCCAGGGGCU
rnacentral:tRNA from 1 species